rnacentral:rRNA from 1 species
GCUGGGGGUUGGCCUACCAGGCGACGACGGGUAGCCGGCCUGAGAGGGCGACCGGCCACACUGGGACUGAGACACGGCCCAGACUCCUACGGGAGGCAGCAGUGGGGAAUAUUGCACAAUGGGCGAAAGCCUGAUGCAGCGACGCCGCGUGAGGGAUGGCGGCCUUCGGGUUGUAAACCUCUUUCCUCAGGGAAGAAGCGAAAGUGACGGUACCUGCAAAAUAAGCGCCGGCUAACUACGUGCCACCAGCCGCGGCCGA